rnacentral:tRNA from 1 species
GACUGGUGGUGUAGUGGUUAACGCGUUGGACUUCGGAUCCGGAGGUUGAUGGUUCGAGUCCAAGUCAUGUCA